CGCGUAGGUGGUUCUGUAUGUCUACCGUGAAAGCAUACAGCUCAACUGUAUUUUGUCGGUAGAAACUGCAGGACUUGAGGCUGGGAGGGGCUGGUGGAAUUCCCUGUGUAGCGGUGAAAUGCGUAGAGAUGGGGGAGAACACUCGUGGCGAAGGCGGCCAGCUAGACCAGAUCUGACACUGAGGCGCGACAGCGUGGGGAGCAAACA
rnacentral:rRNA from 1 species